UCCAGCGAUGCCCACCUCUUACGUUAUACAUCAUUCGCCUUUUACUAACGAUGUCACGGAGUGCGCAUCUAAUGUUGAGACUUCUAGAAUUUCUUUCCACUCUACUUCGAGUAUA
rnacentral:snRNA from 17 species